ACAACUUUCAGCAACGGAUCUCUUGGCUCUCGCAUCGAUGAAGAACGCANCGAAAUGCNAUAAGUAAUGUGAAUUGCAGAAUUCAGUGAAUCAUCGAAUCUUUGAACGCACCUUGCGCUCCUUGGUAUUCCNAGGAGCAUGCCUGUUUGAGUGUCAUGA
rnacentral:rRNA from 1 species